UCACCUCCCAAGUCACUGACGGAAAGGUCAGCAUGGUUCCAGUUCACCACUGAAGGCACAUCCGGAGCUAUUGAUCAGGAAUUGCACAUCAGAGAGAUUAGCCCACAUCAUCUGGGUGUUUUGACUGCCUUGACAAGUAUCAAUAUAAAGAUUUCCACACCAGACCAGGACUCAUCCCCUGUUAAACAUACCACGAAGAGAGCUGUAGAGGAAGAUAGCUGUUUUCUUGAAAAUCAUCCUUAAAAGGACGGGGAAAAACUUUCACAACGAAGGGAAAAACUGAAGAACCAAAC